rfam:Picea glauca, whole genome shotgun sequence.
GGGUGCGAUCAUACCAACAUUAAUGCAUCGGAUCCCAUCAGAACUCCGCAGUUAAGCGCACUUGGGCUAGAGUAGUACUGGGAUGGGUGACCUCCCUGGAUGUCCUAUUGUUGCACCCU